CCUACGGGAGGCAGCAGUCAGGAAUCUUGGUCAAUGGGCGGAAGCCUGAACCUGCCAAGUCGCGUGCAGGAUGACGGCCCUACGGGUUGUAAACUGCUUUUAUACGGGAAUAACGCGCCUUACGUGUACGGCUUUGCAUAUACCGUGUUAAUACGGACCGGCUAAUUCCGGGCCAGCAGCCGCGGUAAUACGGAGAGUCCCGGCGUUUUCCGGAUUUUUUGGGGGUAAGGUGAGCGUAGGCCGUAUGAAAAGCGUGCUGUGAAAUGUCCGGGCUCAACCCGGGCCUUGCAGAGGGAACUGGGGGGCUAGAGUCAUCGGAUGGCAGGCGGAAUUCGUGGUGUAGCGGUGAAAUGCGUAGAUAUGGCGAAGAACCCCGAUGGCGAAGGCAGGUUGCUGCAGCGGAACUGACGCUGAUGCUCGAAGGCGAGGGUAUCGAAAGGGAUUAGAUACCCCUGUAGUC
rnacentral:rRNA from 1 species